AUUGAACGCUGGCGGCAGGCCUAACACAUGCAAGUCGAACGGUAACAGAAAGCAGCUAGCUGCUUUGCUGACGAGUGGCGGCCGGGUGAGUAAUGUCUGGGAAACUGCCUGAUGGAGGGGGAUAACUACUGGAAACGGUAGCUAAUACCGCAUAACGUCGCAAGACCAAAGAGGGGGACCUUCGGGCCUCUUGCCAUCGGAUGUGCCCAGAUGGGAUUAGCUAGUAGGUGGGGUAACGGCUCACCUAGGCGACGAUCCCUAGCUGGUCUGAGAGGAUGACCAGCCACACUGGAACUGAGACACGGUCCAGACUCCUACGGGAGGCAGCAGUGGGGAAUAUUGCACAAUGGGCGCAAGCCUGAUGCAGCCAUGCCGCGUGUAUGAAGAAGGCCUUCGGGUUGUAAAGUACUUUCAGCGGGGAGGAAGGGAGUAAAGUUAAUACCUUUGCUCAUUGACGUUACCCGCAGAAGAAGCACCGGCUAACUCCGUG
rnacentral:rRNA from 1 species